CCUACGGGACGCACCAGUGGGGAAUAUUGCACAAUGGGCACAAGCCUGAUGCAGCCAUGCCGCGUGUGUGAAGAAGGCCUUCGGGUUGUAAAGCACUUUCAGCGGGGAGGAAGGCGCCAAGGUUAAUAACCUUGGCGAUUGACGUUACCCGCAGAAGAAGCACCGGCUAACUCCGUGCCAGCAGCCGCGGUAAUACGGAGGGUGCAAGCGUUAAUCGGAAUUACUGGGCGUAAAGCGCACGCAGGCGGUCUGUCAAGUCGGAUGUGAAAUCCCCGGGCUCAACCUGGGAACUGCAUCCGAAACUGGCAGGCUAGAGUCUUGUAGAGGGGGGUAGAAUUCUAGGUGUAGCGGUGAAAUGCGUAGAGAUCUGGAGGAAUACCAGUGGCGAAGGCGGCCCCCUGGACAAAGACUGACGCUCAGGUGCGAAAGCGUGGGGAGCAAACAGGAUUAGAUACCCCAGUAGUC
rnacentral:rRNA from 1 species